AGUGCUAAGAACCAGUGAGCUUGAACAUCCAUGGAAAGGGAGAACGACUGGGUGACUCUUGUGUUUGCUCUGCCGGCCAGACCUUGAAAUGAGCAAGCUCACUUGUGCUCCAAAAGCAGGCCUAGGUCCAGUGUUAAAGGCUGAGCACCAGCACUGUAGUCACACCAAAUCACCUGAAAACGUGAGUGGAUUGGCUUGGAUUUCUCAAUACAUAGUGGAAGAGCUCACUCCAGCCCCGGACCAGUUUGCAGCUGAUCAUCUGCUUGGGAUGGUUUUGAAGUCAUGAUAUACUGCAGGGUUAGAAUACAAACGGAUUCUCCCAGUGCCAUUUGCAGAGGCAUUUUGCUUUUGCCCACUGUUGGAGACAGGAGCUAGAAAGACCUUUGGCCUGGCCCAGUGUCACUGCUCCUCUGUUCUUGUGCUCGUGUUGUGAAAGACUUGGAGCCCUUGCGGUCUUGCGCUCUUUAGCACAAGCUGCGGGACAAACCGCGCUUAUCAUCGGUCAUUGCUGAGUCAGGCACAGAAGUGAUCUUGCUGACAUUCCUCACCGCUUUGAGCACGACAUGCUGAACAUAUUGGGAGGGAUGACUCUGUGUUUCCCAAAAACAGCUGGGCUCUUCCCCAGGACGACUCUUAUGUAGGAAGAAAGGGAAUCUGCUUCUGCAAUAAAUUGGAGGACAAUGAGGAUCAGAGCAAUGUUUAUACACAUACACAGUCAUUUCUUGCUCAGUGUAUGUAUACAUAUGCACUUCAGCUAUGUGUGUCAACAGUACAUUUUUUCUAAGGAGAAAGCCUGACAAUGUCAUCCAAAUGCACUGCAAGGCUCAGAAAACAGAUGCCAAGCAACAGAAGCCAAACUGUGCAGCCAUUUUUAAAUCUCAGAAGUUUUAAGGCAAUCUAAAUAUUCUCAGGGCCUUCACCCAUGUUUUCUGAGUGUGGAGGGGCUUGGCAGUAAAUAAAGCUUCACAUUACAAAGAGGCUAAAGUAAAUAAAGUCUUCAGGGAUGCUAAUA